AGCCUGCUCACUGUGAGUGCAACCAACUACAUGACAGUGAUAAUAACACACAAAGCCACCACCAGCAGCGUCAAGUCGUUUCCCGUUGCUGACUUUUUACUCCAACAUCUCUGCCCCCUCAUUAUUCUGACACCGAGACGCCUUCUGAGGGUCCAAGUCCACUUCCAAGUGUCGCUGGAAGAGCACAGACUGAUGCAAAACGUUUUGGAAAAAUGCAUUCAUAGAGCCCCAGAAUCAGAAUCUCAUCGCCUCAGUGGGCUUUACAACCUGUGGCCUACAAAUAACGACCUCGUCUGUCCUUGGACCCUCGAUUCAAGGGGGUCAAAUUUGCGACAUUGAGAAAAAAAGGACUUCUAACGGGGAUCAAAAGAUGGAAGAAAUCAGGGUGCAUCUUCGUGGGACACCGUGAGGAUGGUUAAUGACAGUGACUUCACGAAGGCACAAGGCCUCAUUAUUGUGAUCAUCCAUAUAAUUUAGAGUCCAACACGGUGAUCAUCAUCUUGAACUUUGAAGCGGUGUCAUAAUAACACACCACCGAGGAGGCAGUAAAAAGCGCGUGGUGAAAAAGCCAGUUUAUCUGAAACGCGCAUGACUUUUAUUAUGUCAACAUGUCAGUCAUAUGUCAUGAUGUGACAAAUCUCCCCUACAGGAUUACAUUAUGCAGAAUACCAGCACACGGUCUGCUUUGACACAUGUGCUGCCACCUAGUGUCCGGACCUGAAACUGCGCAGUAAAUUACAGGCGUUCCAGACAUUUACAUUAGCAGUUUAUUCAUAUUCACAGAACAGAUUGUGUUGUCAAAGCUUGUAUCUCACUAAUGUGGGUUUUGAGUAAUGAGGAGAAAUAAUUGUUGUGGAGAAAUAAGUUAUUGCACAGAUACCUUAGAGGAUGAAAAAAAAAGUUGCUUUGAUGAAAAAUAUACUAAAAGCCAUAUGAAAUCAGCGUGCCACAGAUGCAAUACACACCCCUAUACAAUAAGAGGAAUUAAAGAAUUUGAAGGAUUUUUCCUUUUAAUCUUGCUUGCCAAAAGUCAUGUCUUAGGUCAUGGAGUUUAGCAGUGAUUAUAAUUACAGCUAUCAUAUCUUCACAAAAUCCAAAGAGGCCCCACACAGCACACAGGAGCUCGGCCGUGACCGUGCUGCCAAACAGCCGACUGUUUAUUUUUCAAAGAUGAAGCUCCGACCUCAAAGCCACCUUUCAGCCUGCACCUAACCCCCCCUGGAAGGGACACAUUUCACAGGUAUUGUAAAUGUAUGAAUGUGGGGCAGUGACCCUUUAAUCUGGCAUACCCCCAAAAAUCUCCCUUUACUCAUAAAUUAUAAACGGGAGGGCAAGUGGAAUAUGUGGGUCUGUGCCAACACUAAUCCAUCUCCAUCUCAUUAUCACAGCGACAGUCGAAACUUGCGGAUGGCUUUGAGAGUACCCCUGAAAUCACUGCAAUACAUCAUCCUGGGUUUAAAAAAAAAAAAAAAAAAUCAAGUCCGCGCCUGGGAUAUGUCUAUGUUUAAGUGUUUGUGAUGUCAUUGGUAAUUCGGGGGUGCUGACAGAACAAAAUCCAAUCAUUUUCACACUGUGCAAGAUAUCACAAGGGUUGUCUGAGGAAUUCUAAUUAGAGCCUGGAGACAUGAAGCUGGACACAACGGGAGCUCCGGGCCGCAGUCCUUUCACUUGACUGUGUCACAGCAAUAUUUGUUUUGGAAAUCACCUACUAAACAUCUUUAAUGUCAUGUUGAAAGCAUUACAAAGUGUUUAACCAAACUGCACCCGAAUGAUAUAUUGUUUGUUUACAUUUCUUAAUAAAAUAAACUGUAUAUGUCUGGUGACAACCUGGGCACAAAGUACUAGAUCAUACCUUGUCCUCAGCUGCUUUACAGUUUCAUCUUAACAUCACAAAGGGAAGAAAAGUGGACAAGAUGACAAUAGCCCACAUGGAUGCAUUUAUUUUAGAAAUCAGAUCAUGUGAAAUGUAAUAAAUGAAAUAAUUAUAAAGUGUCUAAAAUUACACUGAAAACAUGACUCAAUGAAUACAGCAUGGCCUAAAGUUCUCAUUCUUUUAAUACAUAUUGUUUAUUGAAAAUUAAACAGGACAGGGAAAGAACAUUACUGAGAUGUAGUUUUUCAGACGUAGGUGAUGUAAAAAAAAAAAAAAAUAAGGAAAAAUGCACUGAAGCGACUGAGCGUAUAGAGUUCUUCAUUUGCUGUGAUGAAAAGGCUGUAAGAUGAUGAGCAAUACGAGCGAACAGCAGGUGACUUUUACAAAGUCAGAGGGAUCAGCCGGAUCAGACGUUUGUCUUCUUUUGGGAGAGGUUGAUCUUGUCACCGAGGC